GGACUACCAGGGUUUCUAAUCCUGUUUGCUCCCCACGCUUUCGCACCUCAGCGUCAGUAUCAGUCCAAGAAGCCGCCUUCGCCACUGGUGUUCCUUCCGGUAUCUACGCAUUUCACCGCUACUCCGGAAAUUCCGCUUCUCUCUACUAUACUCUAGCCGAACAGUUUGAUAUGCAAUUCCCAGGUUAAGCCCGGGGCUUUCACACACCACUUAUUCAACCGCCUACGUGCCCUUUACGCCCAGUAAUUCCGAUUAACGCUUGCACCCUCUGUAUUACCGCGGCUGCUGGCAC
rnacentral:rRNA from 1 species